UCAGGCUACCUGGAUAAAGUACUAAAUAAACUUCAGUUAGUGCUAAACACGGCUGCUAGAAUCUUGACUAGAACCAAAAAAUGUGAUCAUAUUACUCCAGUGCUAGCCUCUCUACACUGGCUUCCUGUUAAGGCUAGAGCUGAUUAUAAGGUUUUACUGCUAACCUACAAAGCAUUACAUGGGCUUACUCCGACCUAUUUUUCCUAUUUGGUCCUUCCAUACAUAACUGCAUGUAUGCUACAGUCACAAGACGCAGAUCUCCUUACUGUCCCUAGAAUUUCUAAGCAAACAGCUGGAGGCAGGGCUUUCUCCUAUAGAGCUCCAUUUUUAUGGAAUGGUCUGCCUAUCCAUGUGAGAGAUGCAGACUUGGUCUCGACCUUUACGUCUUUAUUGAAGACUCAUCUCUUCAGUAGGUCCUAUGAUUGAGUGUAGACUGGUCCAGGAGUGUGAAAGUGAACAGAAAGUCACUGGAGCAACGAACCGCCUUUGCUGUCUCUGCCUGGCCCGUUCCCCUCUCUCCACUGGGAUUCUGUGCCUCAAACCCUAUUACAGGGGCUGAGUCACUGCCUUACUGAUGCUCUUCCAUGCCGUCCCUAGAAGGGGUGCGUCACUUGAGGUGGUUGAGUCACUGACGUGAUCUUCCUGUCUGGGUUGGCACCCCCCUCGGGUCCCUGCCGUGGGGAAGAUCUUUCUGGGCUAUACUCGGCCUUGUCUCAGGAUGGUAAGUUGGUGGUUGAAGAUAUCCCUCUAGUGGUGUGGGGGCUGUAGUUUGGCAAAGUGGGUGGGGUUUUAUCCUGCCUGUUUGUCCCUGUCCGGGGGUAUCGUCGGGCGGGGCCACAGUAUCUCCCGGCCACUCCUGUCUCAGCCUCCAGUACUUAUGCUGCAAUGGUUUGUGUCGGGGGGCUAGGGUCAGUCUCUUAUAUCUGGAGUAUUUCUCCUGUCUUAUCCGGUGUCCUGUGUGAAUUUAAGUAUGCUCUCUCUAAUUCUCUCUUUUCUUUCUUUCUCUCUAUUACUUUCUUUCUUUCUCUCUCUGAGGACCUGAGCCCUAGAACCAUGUCUCAGGACUACCUGGCCUGAUGACUUCUUGCUCUCCCCAGUCCACCUGGUCAUGCUGCUGAUCCAGUUUCAACUAUUCUGCCUGCGACUAUGGAACCCUGACCUGUUCACCGGACGUGCUACCUGUCCCAGACCUGCUGUUUUCAACUCUCUAGAGACAGCAGGAGUGGUAGAGAUACUCUGAAUGAUUGGCUUUGAAAAGCCAACUGACAUUUACUCCUGAGGUGCUGACCUUUUGCACCCUCUACAAGCACUGUGAUUCUUAUUAUUUGACCAUGCUGGUCAUGAACAUUUGAACAUCUUAGCCACGUUCUGUUAUAAUCUCCACCCGGCAUGGCCAGAAGAGGACUGGCCACACCUCAUAGCCUGGAUCCUCUCUAGGUUUCUUCCUAGGUUCUGGCCUUUCUAGGGAGUUUUUCCCAGCCACCGUGCUUCUACACUUGCAUUGCUUGCUGUUUGGGGUUUUAGGUUCUGUUUCUGUACAGCACUUUGUGACAUCAGCUGAUGCAAGGAGGGCUUUAAACAAUGUUUUGAUUGAUUGACGUUGAGACUGGUAUUUUGUGAGUACUAUUUAAUGAACCUGCCAGUUAGCUAGCUAGGUACUGUAACUGUUACUGUUAUUGCUUUCUGUUUGUAUGUAGCUUGCACUUCAAUGGCAUCCCUCGAGGAGAUUAUUUUAUCUUUCCAACCAGGCAAAGUACUAUGAAUGCACCACUGAUCUUGACAAGAGGCACACCAUUCAGAGAAAUUCACAAUUCAGGGCAAUCACAGUACCUACGGGGGAAGGAUGGCCAGCCACACAGGAGGGUGAUUUUUACUAAAGAGGAGAAGGAGGCCGUGCUGACCGAGAUGCAUGCUGGCCAAUUCGGAUUGAAUAGCAUGAUUGCCAAAAUCAACCUACGCUUCUUCUGACAGGGAAUUGUCAAGGUGGUGGACAGCUGGGUCAGUACGCUGUAUAGCCUGCCAGAGGUUUGAGAGGGUAAAGACUGUAGUGCCGGAGUUGAAGCCCAUCAAAGGUGUUUCACCAUGGCUCAUGAUCGGGGUGGAUCUCAUCGGACCCUUCACGAAAUCCAGUAAUGGCAACAGCUGCUGUCUGACGGCGACCGAUCACUUUACCAAGUGGGUGGAGGCAAUACCCAGUAAGGAAGAAACUGGCGAGGCCACAUCCAAGGCAAUGAUGGACAUCUUCAACACCUGAGGUCCUCUUGAGUGACUGAACGCUGGAUCAAGGUUUGGUGAAUGGACCAACGAGACCCUCAAGACUGCAAUGGGCAAGUCCUUUGGCGGGUACCAGGAAUGGUGGGAGAACAACCUGAAGGUGAAACUGAACAUCGAACGGUACAGGAGAAACAGAAGGAGAGCUACCGGAGCAGAAUCAAGAAGGGGAACAAGUGCUUCGAAAUCCGGGCGAAUUACUUGGUUUGGAAGAAGUAGAAAAGGAAGGCGAGACCUGGGAAACCUCACUGCACUUUCGCUCCUAGCUGGGGUCACCAUCUGUUAAGUGGAAGUCAACAUUCUUCUCCAGUUGGAGCAGGUGGACGGUUGACCACUGGAAGCCCUGACACACUACACUUCAGUUAAGCCCAAUAGUCAAAGUAUGUUAAGCUUUGGUUGACAUUCGAGAAAGCAGGAAAUGGUAGUUAUGCUGAGCUUAUGAAAACUCUCCAAAUGGCUUUAGGACCAUUGACUGUCCAAGACCCCCAGGAGGUACCCCAUCCACCAGAGCCAGUGAGUUCAGAUCAGUCUGAUUCUCUGUGCUCUGAGUGUGAGGGGGACCAGCUUGCGGUAGGCUAUACCAUCCAAAACUGUUUAAAAGUACAUACAGCAUCUACCAUUUAUAACACUGCACUAAUCCAUCAAAUAUUGUGUGUUUGCUUGUUUACGUCUGUCUCCUACCCUGUUCCCUUUAACUCUUCCCAACACCCAGACAUGGAUCCACCUGAUGUCCUCCAUUACCAAUCACCCUCCAACUUUUCAUUCCAUCAUCUACAGUUAACGUCAUUGUCAUUAAUUGCUAAGAAAGUUUUCUUGCUCUAUCAUACUGGGCACAGUACUGAGAUACACAGACUAAUUAAAAACACUAGCACUGCAAACACUCAGAACAAAGAGAGUAGCAGUGCCUGGACUUUGCAGUCUCCCUCUUCAAGUCCCCCAUCUGAGACUGGCUGCCUGUGGAGAACAAGUGACAGGCAGAACCUCAAACCCACACAGCAACCACCUCCUCUAUAUUCCACACACCAGAGUUCAGACUUUUAGUCUAAGAUUGUUCAAAAAAUCUGUGAAAAUAAAUGAAUGACAC
ensembl:lncRNA